rnacentral:rRNA from 1 species
GACGAACGCUGGCGGCGUGCCUAAUACAUGCAAGUCGAGCGGACGAAUCGAAAGCUUGCUUUUGAUUCGUUAGCGGCGGACGGGUGAGUAACACGUGGGCAACCUGCCCUGUAGACGGGGAUAACACCGAGAAAUCGGUGCUAAUACCGGAUAACACGAAAUGUCGCAUGACGUUUAGUUGAAAGAUGGCGCAAGCUGCCGCUACAGGUUGGGCCCGCGGGGCAUUAGCUAGUUGGUGAGGUAACGGCUCACCAAGGCGACGAUACGUAGCCGACCUGAGAGGGUGAUCGGCCACACUGGGACUGAGACACGGCCCAGACUCCUACGGGAGGCAGCAGUAGGGAAUCUUCCGCAAUGGACGAAAGUCUGACGGAGCAACGCCGCGUGAGCGAAGAAGGCCUUCGGGUCGUAAAGCUCUGUUGUUAGGGAAGAACAAGUAACGCAGUAACUGGCGUUACCGUGACGGUACCUAACGAGAAAGCCACGGCUAACUACGUG